UCACAGGUUUUUUUGAAAACCACUCUUUGGAAAAGAUAAAGAAUUG
rfam:Nematostella vectensis strain CH2 x CH6 NEMVEscaffold_75_Cont10460, whole genome shotgun sequence.